GGGACGAAGCGGGAGGUGGGGGUGCUCGUGCUCUCCUCGCGCGCUAGCAGUCCGCCUCGCCUCGCGCUCACCUCGCCUGGGUUCUGACCCUCGCCAUGGAGGAGGCUGAGGCGGACGCCACGGAAAGCUCUCGCGCCUCCGAGGCCAAGCGAGCCUCUGCCAUGCCGCCGCCGCCGCCUCCCAUCUCUCCGCCCGCCCUCACGCCGGCGCCUGCGGCCGGUGAGGAGGGCCCGGCGUCCCUGCCCGAGGCGGGCGCUCCCGGCUGCUCCCGCUCUCGGCCCCCCGAACUGGAGCCCGAGCGCAGCCUGGGCCGCUUGAGAGGCCGCUUCGAGGACUACGACGAGGAGUUGGAAGAGGAGGAGGAGAUGGAGGAGGAAGAGGAGGAGGAGGAAGAGAUGAGCCACUUUUCGCUGCGGCUGGAGUCGGGGCGGCCGGACUCGGAGGACGAGGAGGAGCGCCUGCUUAACCUUGCUGAGCUGACCCCAUACAUCAUGUGUUCCAUUUGCAAAGGUUACUUAAUAGAUGCAACCACCAUCACAGAAUGUCUUCAUACCUUUUGUAAAAGCUGCGUUGUAAGACAUUUUUACUAUAGCAACAGAUGCCCAAAAUGUAGCAUAGUCGUCCACCAGACACAGCCUCUUUAUAACAUAAGGUUGGACCGACAAUUGCAAGACAUAGUAUACAAAUUAGUGGUCAAUCUAGAGGAAAGAGAAAAAAAGCAAAUGCAUGAUUUCUAUAAAGAAAGAGGUCUAGAAGUACCCAAACCUGCUGUUCCACAACCAGUUCCUUCAAGCAAAGGAAAAACUAAGAAAGUCCUUGAGUCGGUGUUCCGUAUUCCACCUGAACUUGAUAUGUCUUUAUUACUUGAGUUCAUUGGUGCUAAUGAAAAUACAGGACAUUUUAAGCAUUCACUGAGAUUUGAGGUAAGAAUAAACUACUUUGUAUCAUACUUUGUCAGUUACUUCGAUAUAUAGCAAGCUGGAGAUACCUAGAAAAGUAAAUUUCUGUGAUAUAGACUCUGUUAAUUUUAUUAAGAAAUGUCUAGGUUGUUUUGUUUUUGGCACCUGUAUAUUCUGUGAUAUAGACUCUGUUAGUUUUAUUAAGAAAUGUCUAGGUUGUUUUGUUUGUGGCACCUGUAUACUAGAGAUUUAAGGGAAAGCCCAUAACAGUAUGAGUCCAACACACAAGGCUCAGUUAUCUGUCCCAUUGUGACAUUUGAAGAGAUUAGUAGUUGGGGCUAAGAAUAGACUUCCAAUUGAUACUACGGUACUUUCUUGCCUCGAAUGUAUGAAGCCUGGGGUUAAGUUCCCACAGUGUGGUGACUAUACCUGUGAUCCCAGCACUUGUGAGAUACAUAUCAAGUACAAAGCAACUCUGGAUAACGUGAAACCAUGUCUGAAAAAAAAAAGUAUUGUAGAAAAGCAUUAAAAAGUUUAAUCAAUAUUGCCACAUCAGGAAAAGGAACAGAAAAAGAGGUUCCAUGAUGUUUGUCUUCAGGUCACUGGCUUAGCUUUCUGUGAUGGUGGUGGUUUUGUGUUUUUGAGAAAGGUUCUCAUUCUGUAGCCCAGGCUAACCUGGGACUCAUGUAGCCCAGUUUGGCCUUGAAUUUAUGACAGUCUGCCUGCCUUAGUCUCCGAGUGUUGGGGUUAUAUGUGAGUCACCAUGCUUGGCAACAGAAGAAUUGGGGCAGGAGGCAACAAGUAUAUACAAUUAUGUUUUGAUCAAUUUGUGGUCUGAUGGGUAGUUAUCUUAGUUCUGGCUCUUGACGCUGGUUAAGAGACAUUCUUGUUUGAGGGGAUGGUUCAGUUCUCUUGAGACUAAAGAUGUUCUCACCUUGGGGUGAUCUGUCUGUGAGGCUCCGAUGUACCUAGAAUCUUAGGUGACUGUCCUUUUACUGGAGAUCUUGAGAUGCCUUUAGGGAAUCUGGAACAGAAUAUUGUAAAAGAUGGGAGCAAGGGGCAGGAGAAAUGGCUCAGCAGUUAAGAUCCUGUACUGCUCUCACAGAGGAGCUAAGUUUGGUUCCCAGCACCCACAUUGAGUGGAUCACAACUGCCUGUAACUCCAGCUACCUCUGUCUAGAUUUCUUCUCAUAUUAAAUUUUAAAAAGAACCCCCCUUUUUUUUUUUUGAAAUAGGCCUGUAGUUCAGGUUGUCUUUAGCUCAUAUUCUCCUGCCUCAGCUUCUAGAGUAUUGGAUUAUAGGUUUGAGCUACCAUGCCUUACUUAAAAAAAAUGUUUUGUCACUGUGUUGUCCAGGCUGUCUCAGCUGUUAGACUCAAGUAAACCUCCUGCCUCAGCCUCAAGUACAGCCUCCAGGCAUGUACUACCUUGCUGUGCAGUUAAUACUUAGGUGAUCCUCUUGUGUCAUCUUCUCCCAAGUAGCUGGAGCUACAAGCAGCCAUUGGAAAAGAAGUUUGUGCGUGUUUCAGGAGAAGCAACUAUUGGACAUGUAGAGAAAUUUCUUAGAAGAAAAAUGGGUCUUGAUCCAGCUUGUCAG